UUGGGAUGGUUCUUCUCUGGCAGUCGGGCCACAGUUGUCAGACCCAUCUUCUUGGUCAUGUCCAAACCCAGCUCCAUGCCAGAGUUUACGCAGGGUAUUCCUCGGCCAACCUCCUCCGCCACGCGGGUCGCCGCCUCCGCUGCUGCGUGGGCCCUGCGGCUCGGGAAUAGCAACCAGCUCGCGAUAAAUUUGGAAUCUGGCAACCACGUCCGAGAUCUUCUCCCACCAUUGCAGUUUAGCGCGAUCUUCGCAACAGAACGCGUGGAAUCCUCCGACCGCGGCGAGAUUGGGUGGGAGAGAGAUCCUGGACGUCGCAAAAUCACCUCGUUCCGUCAGCAGCGGAAACCAAAGUCAGGAUUCCGUUAUGCUUCGCGGGAGAGAGAAGUCGUGAUUACAGUCGAGCAUGGAGCCACGGGCAUUCCCCCACCCAACCGCGGCAUCUGCCAGUCUGCGACACUGCCGCCCCAGCAGUGGGGCAAACACUGUCGUCGGCGCCUUGGAGCUUUGGAUUGGCUGGGCGCGCGACCGGCCUCUGUCUCCAGGCUGCGAGGCAGCAGCAACCUCCUUCGCUGGCUGAUGACCGUCUUCGCCGCGGAUCCAACUCCCAACGUGGUCGGCUUGCUUCCCGUCGUCACCAUUGGUGAGUUCCCUGUACAAUUAUUCACCAGCAUCACCGCGACGGGUAGUGCCAUUAGUAUCAAUGUUUAG
rnacentral:misc_RNA from 1 species